rnacentral:rRNA from 1 species
GACUCACGCGGGAAUCUUACCGGGUCCGGACACACUGAGGAUUGACAGGUUUCGAGAGUUUUUUUGGAGUUCGCUCCAGAAUGCUCUCUUAAAUAUGCUAGUCCUUUCAUGAUUAUGUGAUAGGUGGUGCAUGGCCGUUCUUAGUUCGUGGAGUGAUCUGUCUGCUUAAUUGCGUUUCACUAAAGGCGUCAUUAUAUUUUUGUGCUUGUGUUUGACCCCUCUUUCUUCGGAUUGAGCGCGUGUCUUUCACACACAAUUACUUUGACGUCUGAAAGCAACGAACGUGACCGUAACCUCUUGUUGCCUUCUCUUCUCUUCGGAGAAUGCUAGUUUUUUUCUUCGGAUAAAUUCUAGUAUAUGGAGGCUUUUACUCAAACUAGAGGGACCGCUGUUACUUUCUUUAAACCAGAGGAAGGUUGCGGCAAUAACAGGUCUGUGAUGCCC